GUGCUUGCUUUGGCAGCACAUAUACUAAAAUUGGAAUGAUACAAAGAAAAUUAGCAUGACCCUGUGCAAGGAUGACAUGCAAAUUCGUGAAGUGUUCAAUAUUUUU
rfam:Tupaia chinensis contig85444, whole genome shotgun sequence.